GUCAAGUGACUAAGCGUGCACGGUGGAUGCCUUGGCAUCUGGAGGCGAUGAAAGACGUAGUAGCUUGCGAUAAGUUGCGGUGAGGUAGCAAACAACCUUUGACCCGCAAAUUUCUGAAUGGGGAAACCCACCUGCUGUAAGGCAGGUAUCUUAUAGUGAAUACAUAGCUAUAAGAGGCGAACCCGGGGAACUGAAACAUCUAAGUACCCUUAGGAAAAGAAAUCAACAGAGAUUCCCCUAGUAGCGGCGAGCGAACGGGGAUUAGCCCUUAAGCUGUUUUGUAGUUAGUAGAAGGCUCUGGAAAGUGCCGCCAUAGUGGGUGAUAGCCCCGUAUACGAAAACUUAUAAGCAGUGAAAUCGAGUAGGUCGGAACACGUGGUAUUCUGACUGAACAUGGGGGGACCAUCCUCCAAGGCUAAAUACUCCCAGAUGACCGAUAGUGAACCAGUACCGGGAGGGAAAGGUGAAAAG
rnacentral:rRNA from 1 species